GUUUGGUUGUGUUAAUUAUGGAAAUCUAAAGAUAAUCUAUAUUUAAUGCUGAAUUUUGUCAAAUUUGCUAAAGAAUUAGGGGAGCGUGUGCAAACAGUGACACUUCAAUGAAGAACAAGGUGCAAUUAAACUCUGAAAUUUACAGUGGAAUAAUUGGAGAGCAUGACAAAUAUAGUUAUCAGCAGCAACUAAUUAGGGGUCUGCUCGAGGUUUCUGGGCUUGAUUAAUCUCGCCUGGAUGCUAAUAAGUUAUGUGGGGCAGAUGAUAACCGGUUUGUCUCCUCCUUCCUUCUACCCUCUCUCCAAAGCACUUGAGGGGUAAGAAUGUGACCCAUUCAGUACAUCCCUCUGUGCAGCCUGGCCUGAAGGGGAGGGUGAGGGCACUCCAGCUCCUGUGCUGGGACCCCUGCCCAGGUAGGGAUGAUGUGAACACCUUGCCCUGCCCCUGCUCAGGCAUCCUGGGGGCUCCCUGGUCGGGAAGGCCCCAGGGAGCCGCCUCUUCAUCCACUCACAGGGCACUCCCUCCUCAGCUGGAACCUGGACCCUGGCUCAACCUGAAUUCCUUGGCCUCCACUGGUUUCUCUCUGGAGAUGCAUUUUCAACCUGUGAGUCUCUCUUUUCCCUUCCACCCCCGCACUGUUUCUCUGGGGAAGGACAGUGUGCUUCAGGGAAAUGAGGUGGAGAUUCGUUUCUUGUGUAGCACCUUGCUGUGUGACAUUUGGCAUGUUGCUGUGCCUCUUUGGACAUUGUUCUGGAUAGCAAAAACAUUGGAUUCAUCAGAUCAGGGCCUCUUAAAGCAUGGUCUGUGGACAGGCCACUGUCGUCUUCAGAGCUUGUCAAAAAUACCAAUUCCUGGGCCUCAUCCUUAGAUGAACUGACUUCAAUCUCAGAAGGGG
rnacentral:lncRNA from 10 species